AUACGAAAGGUGCAAGCGUUGUUCGGAUUUACUGGGCGUAAAGAGAGUGUAGGUUGUUUAUUAAGUCGGAUGUGAAAUCCCGGGGCUCAACCUCGGAACUGCAUUCGAUACUGAUAGGCUCGAGUUCGGGAGGGGUAAGCGGAAUUCCGUGUGUAGCAGUGAAAUGCGUAGAUAUACGGAGGAACACCUGAGGCGAAGGCGGCUUACUGGACCGAUACUGACACUGAGACUCGAAAGCGUGGGUAGCAAACAGGAUUAGAAACCCCGGUAGUCC
rnacentral:rRNA from 1 species